rnacentral:rRNA from 1 species
AGAACGAACGCUGGCGGCAGGCUUAACACAUGCAAGUCGAGCGCCCCCGCAAGGGGAGCGGCAGACGGGUGAGUAACGCGUGGGAACAUACCCUCCGGUUCGGAAUAGCUCAGGGAAACUUGGAUUAAUACCGGAUACGGCCUAGCGGCGAAAGAUUGAUCGCCGGAGGAUUGGCCCGCGUCUGAUUAGCUAGUUGGUGGGGUAAUGGCCCACCAAGGCGACGAUCAGUAGCUGGUCUGAGAGGAUGAUCAGCCACAUUGGGACUGAGACACGGCCCAAACUCCUACGGGAGGCAGCAGUGGGGAAUAUUGGACAAUGGGCGCAAGCCUGAUCCAGCCAUGCCGCGUGAGUGAUGACGGCCUUAGGGUUGUAAAGCUCUUUCGCUAGGGACGAUAAUGACGGUACCUAGACAAGAAGCCCCGGCUAACUUCGUGCCAGCAGCCGC